AGAGUUUGAUCCUGGCUCAGGACGAACGCUGGCGGCACGCUUAACACAUGCAAGUCGAACGAGAGAAGAGGAGCUUGCUUUUCUGAUCUAGUGGCGGACGGGUGAGUAACACGUGAGCAAUCUGCCUUUCAGAGGGGGAUACCGAUUGGAAACGAUCGUUAAUACCGCAUAACAUAAUUGAACCGCAUGAUUUGAUUAUCAAAGAUUUAUCGCUGAAAGAUGAGCUCGCGUCUGAUUAGCUAGUUGGUAAGGUAACGGCUUACCAAGGCGACGAUCAGUAGCCGGACUGAGAGGUUGAUCGGCCACAUUGGGACUGAGACACGGCCCAGACUCCUACGGGAGGCAGCAGUGGGGAAUAUUGCACAAUGGAGGAAACUCUGAUGCAGCGAUGCCGCGUGAGGGAAGAAGGUUUUAGGAUUGUAAACCUCUGUCUUCAGGGACGAAAAAAGACGGUACCUGAGGAGGAAGCUCCGGCUAACUACGUGCCAGCAGCCGCGGUAAUACGUAGGGAGCGAGCGUUGUCCGGAAUUACUGGGUGUAAAGGGAGCGUAGGCGGGAUCGCAAGUCAGUUGUGAAAACUAUGGGCUUAACCCAUAAACUGCAUUUGAAACUGUGGUUCUUGAGUGAAGUAGAGGUAAGCGGAAUUCCUAGUGUAGCGGUGAAAUGCGUAGAUAUUAGGAGGAACAUCAGUGGCGAAGGCGGCUUACUGGGCUUUAACUGACGCUGAGGCUCGAAAGCGUGGGGAGCAAACAGGAUUAGAUACCCUGGUAGUCCACGCCGUAAACGAUGAUUACUAGGUGUGGGGGGACUGACCCCUUCCGUGCCGCAGCAAACGCAAUAAGUAAUCCACCUGGGGAGUACGACCGCAAGGUUGAAACUCAAAGGAAUUGACGGGGGCCCGCACAAGCAGUGGAGUAUGUGGAUUAAUUCGAAGCAACGCGAAGAACCUUACCAGGUCUUGACAUCGUAUGCAUAGCUCAGAGAUGAGUGAAAUCUCUUCGGAGACAUAUAGACAGGUGGUGCAUGGUUGUCGUCAGCUCGUGUCGUGAGAUGUUGGGUUAAGUCCCGCAACGAGCGCAACCCUUACUGUUAGUUGCUACGCAAGAGCACUCUAGCAGGACUGCCGUUGACAAAACGGAGGAAGGUGGGGAUGACGUCAAAUCAUCAUGCCCCUUAUGACCUGGGCCUCACACGUACUACAAUGGCUGUCAACAGAGGGAAGCAAAGCCGCGAGGUGGAGCGAACCCCUAAAAGCAGUCUUAGUUCGGAUUGUAGGCUGCAACCCGCCUACAUGAAGUCGGAAUUGCUAGUAAUCGCAGAUCAGCAUGCUGCGGUGAAUACGUUCCCGGGCCUUGUACACACCGCCCGUCACGCCAUGGGAGUCGGUAACACCCGAAGCCUGUAGUCUAACCGCAAGGAGGACGCAGUCGAAGGUGGGAUUGAUGACUGGGGUGAAGUCGUAACAAGGUA
rnacentral:rRNA from 1 species